UACGUAGGGUGCAAGCGUUGUCCGGAAUUAUUGGGCGUAAAGAGCUCGUAGGCGGUUUGUCGCGUCUGCUGUGAAAAUCCAGGGCUUAACCCUGGACCCGCAGUGGGUACGGGCAGACUGGAGUGCGGUAGGGGAGAUCGGAAUUCCUGGUGUAGCGGUGAAAUGCGCAGAUAUCAGGAGGAACACCGGUGGCGAAGGCGGAUCUCUGGGCCGUAACUGACGCUGAGGAGCGAAAGCAUGGGGAGCGAACAGG
rnacentral:rRNA from 1 species